AAGGGGCAAGCCGAAAACCUUAAAGAGUAGGCA
rnacentral:ncRNA from 1 species